rnacentral:rRNA from 1 species
GAUGAACGCUGACGGCGUGCCUAAUACAUGCAAGUCGAGCGAACGGACGAGAAGCUUGCUUCUCUGAUGUUAGCGGCGGACGGGUGAGUAACACGUGGAUAACCUACCUAUAAGACUGGGAUAACUUCGGGAAACCGGAGCUAAUACCGGAUAAUAUUUUGAACCGCAUGGUUCAAAAGUGAAAGAAGGUCUUGCUGUCACUUAUAGAUGGAUCCGCGCUGCAUUAGCUAGUUGGUAAGGUAACGGCUUACCAAGGCAACGAUGCAUAGCCGACCUGAGAGGGUGAUCGGCCACCCUGGAACUGAGACACGGUCCAGACUCCUACGGGAGGCAGCAGUAGGGAAUCUUCCGCAAUGGGCGAAAGCCUGACGGAGCAACGCCGCGUGAGUGAUGAAGGUCUUCGGAUCGUAAAACUCUGUUAUUAGGGAAGAACAUAUGUGUAAGUAACUGUGCACAUCUUGACGGUACCUAAUCAGAAAGCCACGGCUAACUACGUG